ACUUCGGAGAUAUGUGGCUGGAAGCGCUAGCGAAAACUCACCAAAAAGAACAAGAUUUAAUCGUAGCCGUUAUCAGACUCCACCUGCCAUAUGACAAAAUAUCUCAGAAUAAUAUAAGCUUGCAGUUCGACUAUUAUUACCACGAACACCACAGAGAAACAUACAAAAGCCAGCGACGUCUCCAGAUAAUUUUAUAAAUAUUAUUGUUACAACUCACAGAUUUAUAUAGCAUAAAUAAAAUUAUUCAUUUGUGAGUGACGGGACAAUAAAAUUUAUUGUUGAAAA